AGUGAGGAGAACUGUUGCUUUUCCCCCACAUCCUUCUCCCCCAUUAAAGAUUCAGCUGUUGUUUUCUGAAGGGGAAGGUGAAAGGUUUCAUAAGAAACCUCCCGGAUGYGUAACUCCCUUCCCCUCCCCUCGCACUCAGCUCCUGGGAGCAACGUAGUAGAAACCACCCUGCAUCUUCUCCACGGGUUCCCUGCAACAGCCCUGAGCUUCCUGUGGCAUCCGGAGAGGCUUCAGCCCCUGUACCUUUUCUCUGUGACACCACUUGCAACUGAGGCAGCUGAAGAAAGGAUGGGGGACUUCUACGCGGACCACAAAGUCUCAGCCCUGAGGAUCCAAGUUGAUUGAAGCAUGGAAUUUACAGCGCUGGGUAUGAACGUCACUGGAGCAYGGGAGGGGACAAGGUAGCUUUUUGAUGGCAACAUAGUCAGCUCUCUCACUGACG
rnacentral:lncRNA from 1 species